rnacentral:rRNA from 1 species
CGGUUAAGUUAGAAAGGGCGCACGGUGGAUGCCUUGGCACUAGGAGCCGAUGAAGGACGGGACUAACACCGAUAUGCUUCGGGGAGCUGUAAGUAAGCUUUGAUCCGGAGAUUUCCGAAUGGGGAAACCCACUGUUCGUAAUGGAACAGUAUCUUUACCUGAAUACAUAGGGUACUGAAGGCAGACCCGGGGAACUGAAACAUCUAAGUACCCGGAGGAAGAGAAAGCAAACGCGAUUUCCUGAGUAGCGGCGAGCGAAACGGAAUUAGCCCAAACCAAGAGGCUUGCCUCUUGGGGUUGUAGGACACUCAACAUGGAGUUACAAAGGAACGGGGUAAAUGAAGCGACCUGGAAAGGUCCGUCGAAGAAGGUAAAAACCCUGUAGUUGAAACUUCGUUCCCUCCUGAGUGGAUCCUGAGUACGGCGGGACACGAGAAAUCCCGUCGGAAGCAGGGAGGACCAUCUCCCAAGGCUAAAUACUCCCUAGUGACCGAUAGUGAACCAGUACCGUGAGGGAAAGGUGAAAAGCACCCCGGAAGGGGAGUGAAAUAGAUCCUGAAACCGUGUGCCUACAAGUAGUCAAAGCCCGUUAAUGGGUAAUGGCGUGCCUUUUGUAGAAUGAACCGGCGAGUUACGAUUUCAUGCGAGGUUAAGUUGAUGAGACGGAGCCGCAGCGAAAGCGAGUCUGAAUAGGGCGAAUGAGUAUGAGGUCGUAGACCCGAAACCAGGUGAUCUACCCAUGUCCAGGGUGAAGUUCAGGUAACACUGAAUGGAGGCCCGAACCCACGCACGUUGAAAAGUGCGGGGAUGAGGUGUGGGUAGCGGAGAAAUUCCAAUCGAACCUGGAGAUAGCUGGUUCUCUCCGAAAUAGCUUUAGGGCUAGCCUCAAGAUGAGAGUAUUGGAGGUAGAGCACUGAUUGGACUAGGGGCCCCCAACGGGUUACCGAAUUCAGUCAAACUCCGAAUGCCAAAUACUUAUUCUUGGGAGUCAGACUGCGAGUGAUAAGAUCCGUAGUCGAAAGGGAAACAGCCCAGACCACCAGCUAAGGUCCCAAAGUAUACGUUAAGUGGAAAAGGAUGUGGAGUUGCUUAGACAACCAGGAUGUUGGCUUAGAAGCAGCCACCAUUUAAAGAGUGCGUAAUAGCUCACUGGUCGAGUGACUCCGCGCCGAAAAUGUACCGGGGCUAAACGUAUCACCGAAGCUGUGGAUUGACACCGUAUGGUGUCGAUGGUAGGAGAGCGUUCUAAGGGCGUUGAAGUCAGACCGGAAGGACUGGUGGAGCGCUUAGAAGUGAGAAUGCCGGUAUGAGUAGCGAAAGAAGGGUGAGAAUCCCUUCCACCGAAUGCCUAAGGUUUCCUGAGGAAGGCUCGUCCGCUCAGGGUUAGUCGGGACCUAAGCCGAGGCCGAAAGGCGUAGGCGAUGGACAACAGGUUGAUAUUCCUGUACCACCUAUACAUCGUUUGAACGAUGGGGGGACGCAGAAGGAUAGGGUAAGCGCGCUGUUGGAUAUGCGCGUCCAAGCAGUUAGGCCGGAAACGAGGCAAAUCCCGUUUCCAUUAAGGCGGAGCUGUGAUGGCGAGGGAAAUAUAGUACCGAAGUUCCUGAUUCCACGCUGCCAAGAAAAGCCUCUAGUGAGAUGUAAGGUGCCCGUACCGCAAACCGACACAGGUAGGCGAGGAGAGAAUCCUAAGGUGUGCGAGAGAACUCUCGUUAAGGAACUCGGCAAAAUGACCCCGUAACUUCGGGAGAAGGGGUGCUUUUUAGGGUGAAUAGCCCAGAAAAGCCGCAGUGAAUAGGCCCAGGCGACUGUUUAGCAAAAACACAGGUCUCUGCGAAGCCGCAAGGCGAAGUAUAGGGGCUGACACCUGCCCGGUGCUGGAAGGUUAAGGGGAGAGGUUAGCGCAAGCGAAGCUUUGAACCGAAGCCCC